rnacentral:rRNA from 1 species
CCUACGGGAGGCAGCAGUAGGGAAUCUUCCACAAUGGGCGAAAGCCUGAUGGAGCAACGCCGCGUGAGUGAAGAAGGAUUUCGGUUCGUAAAACUCUGUUGUAAGGGAAGAACAAGUACAGUAGUAACUGGCUGUACCUUGACGGUACCUUAUUAGAAAGCCACGGCUAACUACGUGCCAGCAGCCGCGGUAAUACGUAGGUGGCAAGCGUUGUCCGGAAUUAUUGGGCGUAAAGCGCGCGCAGGCGGUCCUUUAAGUCUGAUGUGAAAGCCCACGGCUCAACCGUGGAGGGUCAUUGGAAACUGGGGGACUUGAGUACUGAAGAGGAAAGUGGAAUUCCACGUGUAGCGGUGAAAUGCGUAGAGAUGUGGAGGAACACCAGUGGCGAAGGCGACUUUCUGGUCAGUAACUGACGCUGAGGCGCGAAAGCGUGGGGAGCAAACAGGAUUAGAUACCCUGGUAGUCCACGCCGUAAACGAUGAGUGCUAAGUGUUAGGGGGUUUCCGCCCCUUAGUGCUGCAGCAAACGCAUUAAGCACUCCGCCUGGGGAGUACGGCCGCAAGGCUGAAACUCAAAGGAAUUGACGG